GGACUUAAUAGUCAUUGUCCGAUUUUAUCAGAUAUUUGGUUUGUAGAUUAUACAUUUUUAUUUCGUAAGGCAACAUCUGCCGAUUUGUGCUAAUCUUCUUCAUCUUUUCAAACUUAGGAAUCGGCAAUCUAUUUUAGUCGAAAUACUCCUGAUCAUUCACAAUGUCUAUCUUCAAACUUCCUGAUGGUUUAGCCCGACGAUUAAACAAAUAGAAAGCUUGUUUUUGGUGGGAAUCUAUCAGUUCUACUACUAGAAGAGUCCAUUGAAAAUCUUGAUACUCUCUUUGUCAAUCAAAAAUUGAAGGCGAAUUGGGUUUUAGGGAUUUUGUGUCUAUCAACUAUUCUCGUCUAGCAGCUAUCGCCUGGAGAUUAUUGUGGAAUCCCGAUUGGAACGUUACUAACAGUGGUGAAAGGGUCCUCUCCUAGUGUGGUUGGAGUAGCAUUAUCAUUGGUGGGGAUUUAUUACUCCAGGGUGGACGAUGGCUAGUUGGGUAUGGUAAUCGACCCUGGUCAUUAAAUUGCCUUGGCUACCGACUUCGCCACCAUCAAUUCCAAUUCUCUGACCUUCCACGAUCCUAAUACCGGAUAUGGUUGCAUCUGUUAUUUCUCAUUUUCGCUGGAAUGUACCUUUGUUGGAUGCCUUAUUUGUGCCAGCCUCAGUUAACCUUAUUCUUUCAAUCCCACUAUCAUUUUCUCCGGUUGCAGACAAAUGGAUAUAGUCGCUUAGUCGAGCAGGCAAUUAUGUUGUCUCGUCUGGAUAUCGCCUUAAGUAGGAUAUGAUUUCUCGAGCUACUUUUCCAAGGUACGAACCUGUUAUUAUCGACUCAUUGAUUUGGGCUCUUACAUGGGGUCUUCCAUUGCAACCCAAGCUAAAAUUCUUCGUCUGGAUGAUUUUACAGGGUGUUCUUCCAUUAAAAGAUGGUUUUCUCGCUCGUAAUGUAAUUGUGUACCCUACGUGCCCCAUUUGUGGUGAUCUGGAUGAAACUCUUCGUCAUCUUCUCUUCUUUCUCUCGGGAACCAUCAUCCAGCAAUAUUUUGGCAACUUCUUUGUUCCACGGAUUUUGUACUGGCGAUUAAAUUGGUUUUCUUUUGGUGGAAAAUUUUGAAAUUGAGAAACUGCAUAGUUUUCAAUCACUAUCCGCAGUCCAUCUCUUCUUUUCAUCGUCAAUUUCUUGUCCAUUCGUAUGAAAGACCUAGAUUGGCGACUUCCUCGCGGGAGUUACGUGCGGCACCUUAUACAUAUUCUCGAUCCCAUUGUUUGCAGGCUAGAAGACCGUAUUGGAGAUUUAGUGUGGAUGCAGCAGUACAUCCAACUCUGAGGAUUGUUCUCGGAUUGGAUUUGUUGCAAUUAGUGGUGUUCUCUGACGGGCCUGCCAUUCACGGUGCCGGCAUCGAGAGUUGUGAUACCUUUAAUUACAGAUCCCCUGAUCUUGGUGGUCAUGGCAAUACGAUAUCCCCUGUUAGCAGAUCUCCCUCCACUUCAUGAAUUGAUUUGUAUAUUUUCAUAUUCCCAAGAAGUGGUUCGGAUAAUAACAGGUCUUAAUGACGACAUCCGCACUGGUCAACUACGUCAAGAAUGUAGGAACCUCUUCAAUUCAUUCUCCACCCUUUAUCUUAUUUUUGCCUCUCGGAACGAUAACUACGUCGCCCAUUCUAUGGCACGUGAGGCUCUUUCAUUAUCCUUUGAAUCGACAUGCAUUUUCACUCAAUUAUUGUAUCACGUCUUACUGUGAUUUAUGCUUUUUAAGGUUUAAUUUGUAUCUCUUAACGUUGUGCAUCAACACCGAUACAUCUGAAUAAAAAAAUUUAGAGUCGAG
rnacentral:lncRNA from 1 species